rnacentral:rRNA from 1 species
CAGUAGCCGCGGGAAUACGGAGGGGGCUAGCGUUGUUCGGAAUUACUGGGCGUAAAGCGCACGUAGGCGGCUUUGUAAGUUAGAGGUGAAAGCCCGGAGCUCAACUCCGGAAUUGCCUUUAAGACUGCAGAGCUAGCAGGUGAGAGAGGUGAGUGGAAUUCCGAGUGUAGAGGUGAAAUUCGUAGAUAUUCGGAAGAACACCAGUGGCGAAGGCGGCUCACUGGACGCGUAUUGACGCUGAGGUGCGAAAGCGUGGGGAGCAAACAGGAUUAGAUACCCCCGUAGUCCCUGUCUCUUAUAC